GACGAACGCUGGCGGCGUGCUUAACACAUGCAAGUCGAACGGACAGGCCCUGCUUUUGCGGGGUGCUCGAGUGGCGAACGGGUGAGUAACACGUGAGUAACCUGCCCUUGACUUUGGGAUAACUUCAGGAAACUGGGGCUAAUACCGGAUAGGAGCUCCUGCUGCAUGGUGGGGGUUGGAAAGUUUCGGCGGUUGGGGAUGGACUCGCGGCUUAUCAGCUUGUUGGUGGGGUAGUGGCUUACGAAGGCUUUGACGGGUAGCCGGCAUGAGAGGGGGACCGGCCACAAGAGUACUAAGAGACGGCGCAGUCGCGUACGGGAGGCAACAGGCGGAAGUUUGGCGCUACGAGCGGGGGCGUGAGACAGCGACGCCGCGUGCGGAAUAACGGCCUUCGGGGUGUAAACCGCUUUCGCCGGAGACGAAGCGUGAUUGACGGUAAUGAAUAAAAAAGCACCGGCUAACUACGUG
rnacentral:rRNA from 1 species